rnacentral:rRNA from 1 species
UACGAGGGGGGCAAGCGUUGUUCGGAAUUAUUGGGCGUAAAGCGCGCGUAGGCGGCCUCAUAAGUCCGUUGUGAAAGUCAAAGGCUCAACCUUUGAAAGCCGAUGGAUACUGUGAGGCUAGAGUUCGGAAGAGGCGAGUGGAAUUCCUGGUGUAGCGGUGGAAUGCGCAGAUAUCAGGAGGAACACCAAUAGCGAAGGCAGCUCGCUGGGACGAUACUGACGCUGAGGAGCGAAAGCGUGGGGAGCGAGCAGG